rnacentral:rRNA from 1 species
ACGGGUGAUUACUCGUAAUAACCCGCCCUUGGGAGGGGAACGGCUACUGGAAACGGCUGCUAAUACCCCGUAGGCUGAGAAGCAAGAUGAGGAGUCCGCCCCACGAGGGGCUCGCGUCUGAUUACCUCCUUGGUGAGGCAAUGGCUUACCUGGGCUAUGAUCUCUACCUGGUCCCAAAGGAUGAUCGGCCACACUGGGACUGAAACCCCGCCCAGACUCCUACGGGAGGCAGCCUUGGGGAAUUUUCCGCAAUGGGCAAUUUCCUGACAGAGCAAUGCCUCGUGGACGUCCAAGGCCCACGGGUCAUGAACUUCUUUUCCCUGAAAACAACCAAUGACGGUAUCCAGGGAAUACGCAUCAGCUAACUCUGUGCCAGCCGCCGCGGUAAGACAAAGGAUGCAAGCGUUAUCCGGAAUGAUUGGGCGUAAAGCGUCUGUAGGUGGCUUUUUAAGUCCUCCCUCAAAUCCCAGGGCUCAACCCUGGACAGGCGGUGGAAACUAUCAAUCUGGAGUACGGUACGGGCAGAUGGAAUUUCCAGUGGAGCGCUGAAAUGCGUAGA